rnacentral:rRNA from 1 species
UGGGGAAUAUUGGACAAUGGGCGAAAGCCUGAUCCAGCCAUGCCGCGUGUGUGAAGAAGGUCUUCGGAUUGUAAAGCACUUUAAGUUGGGAGGAAGGGCAUUAACCUAAUACGUUAGUGUUUUGACGUUACCGACAGAAUAAGCACCGGCUAACUCUGUGCCAGCAGCCGCGGUAAUACAGAGGGUGCAAGCGUUAAUCGGAAUUACUGGACGUAAAGCGCGCGUAGGUGGUUUGUUAAGUUGGAUGUGAAAUCCCCGGGCUCAACCUGGGAACUGCAUUCAAAACUGACUGACUAGAGUAUGGUAGAGGGUGGUGGAAUUUCCUGUGUAGCGGUGAAAUGCGUAGAUAUAGGAAGGAACACCAGUGGCGAAGGCGACCACCUGGACUAAUACUGACACUGAGGUGCGAAAGCGUGGGGAGCAAACA